UCUCUAUGCACUACGGCUCUGGCUCCGGAAUUUGCUCGAACCAGCACAGCAACGGGAAUCUUCUCCGAGCUUCUGAUUGGAUGACACCGGUUGUUUGUUUGAUCAGCGAUUGGUUGCUGUGUUACACAACAUCAAGAAAACACGAGUUCAUCUAGUUUCGGCAUGUUGUCAACACCCAGUUGAGACUAGAAAAUUCCAACAAGAGCAGGGCAUCUGGCUGAUCUAGUUCUGCCUCUGAGGAAUGUGUUUGUGCAAGCCUGCUGUACCUCGCCCUGCCCUUUGUUAUGUGGACCGUCUCAAAGUGUUCCAGGAAAAGAUUGCAAGCAGGAAAAUGACUGGAACUUUUGGUUGGGAGCUCCACGUCAGCAAGUUUCACAACUAACAUGUGACACCCUUUCAACUUGAACUUUAC